GAUCCUGGCUCAGGACGAACGCUGGCGGCGCGCCUAACACAUGCAAGUCGAACGAGAGAGAAGGAGCUUGCUUCUUCGAUCGAGUGGCGAACGGGUGAGUAACGCGUGAGGAACCUGCCUCAAAGAGGGGGGACAACAGUUGGAAACGACUGCUAAUACCGCAUAAGCCCACGGGUCGGCAUCGAUCUGAGGGAAAAGGAGCGAUCCGCUUUGAGAUGGCCUCGCGUCCGAUUAG
rnacentral:rRNA from 1 species